rnacentral:rRNA from 1 species
ACGGAUGCCUCGACUCUGUACUCCGAUGAAGGACGUGGCCAGCUGCGAUAAGCUUCGGUCAGCCGCUAGGCAGGCGCUACCAGCCGAAGAUUUCCGAAUGGGGAAACCCCAUAGACGUAAUAGUUUAUGAUCCUGCUCACGCAGGAAGGUAUACUCCGUGAACUGAAACAUCUCAGUAACGGGGGAAAAGAAAUCAAACGAGAUUGCCUUAGUAGUGGCGAGCGAAAAGGCAAGAGCCCAAACCCCGCUUCGGCGGGGGGUUGUAGGACCUUUAUAUCCGAUUGCUUGAAGGUAGACGAACGACCUGGAACGGUCGGCGAUACAGGGUGAGAGCCCCGUAGUCGAAACCCAAGAGCACGGUGAAGGAUUCCUGAGUAAGGUCGGACACGUGAAAUCCGGCCCGAACCCGGGUGGACCACCAUCCAAGGCUAAACAGGUGCAGAGAUCUAUAGCGGAUAGUACCGUGAGGGAAAGGUGAAAAGCACCCCGAAAGGGGGAUGAAAUAGUUUCUGAAAUGUGAUGCGAACAAAGAGUCGGAGCCCCGCUAACGCGGGGUGACGGCAUUCCUUUUGCCUAAUGAACCAACGACUUAGUUCUCAGCGGCGUGGAUAAGGCAGCAAUAGCCGAAUCCGUAGCGAAAGCGAGUCUUCAAUAUGGCGUUUGUCGCUGGGACUAGACCCGAAACCGGGUGAGCUAUCCAUGAGCAGGAUGAAGGUUAUCGAAAGAUAGCUGGAGGUCCGAACCAUAAAGUGUCGCAAGACUUUGGGAUGACUUGUGGAUGGGAGUGAAAAGCUUACCGAACCCGGAGAUAGCUGGUUCUCCUCGAAAUGUUUUUAGGAACAGCCUCAUGAUACUCAGCAGGGGGUAGAGCUACUGUUUCGACAAGGGGGCCUUCUAGGCCUGCCAAGUCCUGACAAACUCCGAAUACCUGCUUUUAAUUUUCAUGGGAGUGAGACGGUGACAGCGAAGUGCCAUCGUCGAGAGGGCAACAGCCCAGAUCGUUUGCUAAGGUCCCCAAUAUCAGUUCAGUAUAUCAAAGGAAGUGCCAUCGCAUUAACAACCAGGAGGUUUGCUUAGAAGCAGCCAUCCUUUAAAGAAAGCGUAACAGCUCACUGGUCGAUUGCGAUAGCGCGCCGAAAAUUUACGGGAUUAAACUGAUAACCGACGCAGCGAGUGCCGGAAGCAUGCGUGCUUCAGGCGCAGUAGAGGAGCGUUCUCUUCAGCAGUGAAGCCUUCCUGUAAGGGAUGGUGGAGCGAAGAGAAGUGAGACUGUUGGUAUGAGUAACCACAAGGCAGGUGAAAACCCUGCCCGCCGAAUUCCCAAGGUUUCCCACGCAACGUCGAUCGACGUGGGGUUAGUCGGACCUAAGGUGAGGCCAAAUGGCGUAGCCGAUGGACAGCAGGCGAAUAUUCCUGCACCUCGUGUGUACCGCCCAAGAGAAGAGUUUGAAAGCCGAGCCGGCCUCUGUUCUCUCGCAAGAGAGAGUAUGUCUGUUUGGAACGAUGAUUCGGAUCUAAGAGAGGCGUGACGGAGACGGAACACCAGAACGUCUGCAUUGACUGGACGUGGAAAGCGCGAAACGUUAAGAGCCGGAGGCAAAUCCCCGGUUCGAGUCGAGCGCCGACCGAUUACCCGCAUUUAUGCGGCUGAGUCUGACUGUUUCAGCUUCCAAGAAAACCGUCGCUCUGAGGGACACAUGAGACCGUACCGUAAACCAACACUGGUGGGAUGGUCGAGUAGACCAAGGUGAUCGGGACAACUUGCGUUAAGGAACUCUGCAAAAUAGCGUCCGUAACUUCGGGAUAAGGACUGCCCCAUGUUUACAUGGGGCCGCAGCGAAAGAGUCCCUGCGACUGUUUACCAAAAACACAGGUCCCUGCGAAGCCGUAAGGCAAUGUAUAGGGGCUGAUGCCUGGCCAGUGCUAGAAGGUCACGUGAGGGGGUUCACGCCUCCGAUCUAAGCCCUAGCGAACGCCGGCCGUAACUAUAACGGUCCUAAGGUAGCGAAAUUCCUUGUCGGGUGGUCGCAAGACACUUGCCCGCAUGCAUCGCAAGGUGCAGCACUAAGGAAUCAGCAGUGUAUGUUUGGUGAAGUCCCCCGCGACAAGCGGGGUGCUCUGGCCGAAAGGCGUAGAGCGGACUUAAAAGAUUGCGAAAUCUCUUUCAUAAUGUUCCAAGACAAAAUUUUUAGAGACAGUAACUACUAAUGAUUACCAUUCAUAGUGAGAAACGUGGCUAUAUGCUGGAAUAUCCGAGUAUGCAGCGAUACUUGAUGGAUUCAUCAAACAUAGUAAUAUGUAUGUAUGACUUCUGAGAGUAAAAAUUCGGCUGCUGCGGACAAUCAGCAGGGAAGAGUUCGGGAGAACAGAUUGCCUGAAGCAGGCGAUCCCUAUUCUCUCGCGGGUCUGACUGUCGUGAGUUUGCGUACAAGAGUGAAGCAACAACUCAAGGCAGUAGACUUCGACGACAACCAUCAAUCUCAACAACUUGUUGAAUUCUUGGAUGCUCGAUAACUCCCCUCAGAGACUACACGCCACGCUCCGAACGUUCACUUGAACGAUGCGGAGAUGAUAUAGUCCGAUCCCCGUAGCGAUACGGGGUGGCAGAAAUUCGUCUGCCAGAUAAAAAACAAGCGUUGCUGAGAAAUCAGCAAGGUAUGUGCGCCCCGAUUUCGAUCAGGGUCCCAGACUAACCCUCUGGGGGAACCAAAAACGAAGUUCCGACCCGCACGAAUGGUAUCACGGUGGGGGCACUGUCUCGACGCAAGGCCCGGUGAAAUUGCAGACCAGGUAAAAAUGCCUGGUGAAUCACGGUAGGACGAAAAGACCCUAUGAAGCUUUACUGUAGGCUGGCAUUGUGCCGUUUAUUUGCGUGCGCAGGAUAGGUGGGACCCUUUGAAGCUCCGACUUUGGUCGGGGUGGAGGGGCCGUUGAGAUACCACCCUCGCGUUUGAACGUCACUCACCUACGGUCUUAGAAGAACUCUCCUGAUGAGAGUCUUUCUACGACCGUAGGGACAUUGUUUGCUGGGCAGUUUAACUGGGGCGGUUGCCUCCUAAAAAGUAACGGAGGCGCGCAAUGGUCACCUAGCGCCGGAUGGAAAUCGGCGUCGUCGUGUAAUCGCACAAGGUGGCCUGACUGUGAGACGGACAUGUCGAUCAGGAGCGAAAGCUGGUGAUAGUGAUCCGGUGUCCGGGAAUUUAUUUUCCCUUUACCACGUGGGUGGGACAUCGCUCAACGGAUAAAAGUUACUCUAGGGAUAACAGGCUGAUCGGUUCCAAGCGCCCAUAGCGACGAACCGGUUUGGCACCUCGAUGUCGGCUCAUCACAUCCUGGGGCUGGAGAAGGUCCCAAGGGUUUGGCUGUUCGCCAAUUAAAGUGGUACGCGAGCUGGGUUCAGAACGUCGUGAGACAGUUUGGCCUCUAUCCUCCGUGAUCAAUUGGACAAUUGCGAGAACUUGCUCCUAGUACGAGAGGACCGGAGUGAACAAACCUCUGGUGUACCUGUUGUUGCGUCAGCAGCAUUGCAGGGUAGCUAUGUUUGGUUGAGAUAACCGCUGAAAGCAUCUAAGUGGGAAGCUCAUCUCAAGAUUGAUUGUCCCCAUAAUCCCCCUCGCAGACUACGAGGUAGAUAGGCUACAGGUGUACGUGCAGCAAUGCAUUCAGCCGAGUAGUACUAACGGG